UGGACAGAGGAGCCUGGCAGGCUGUAGUCCAUGUGGUCUCAGAGUCGGACACGACUGAGCAACUAGAGAACAACUCGGGGUCUUUAACUGACCCAGAGGAAAGAACAUAUGUGAGGGUCUAGCCCUGUCCGUCGCCCACUUCUGUGGCCGCCAUCACUGUUAGCUAUCCUGAGGGGCCAGAGCCAGGUCUCUGGCUGCUCCAGAGGUGAGCUAAUCCCGUUAGAACUGUCAUUGAGGUUCCAGAAGCAAGUCAAAUAAGGUAGGGCUUUCUCCCAAAAGACAGUUUUUAUCUGAGAGGGUUGACAUUGUUUUUUAGAAACACCAAAAGCAAAAAAAAAAAAAA